ACCUGGGUGGCUUAGUCGGUUGAGCAUCUGACUUCAGCUCAGAUCACGAGCUCGCAGUUAGUGAGUUCAAGUCCCACGUCAGGCU
rnacentral:tRNA from 1 species